UGAAAGAUCUUUCCUGAAGCUGUUUAGGAAUAUUCAUGAUAUACCCUUAACUGUUCUAGAGAACAAAAUGUGUCUGUGCUCCUUCACAAAAGUCCCUAUGAAUUUGUUUCUCAAUAUGAUCCUUCUUAAGUUCUAUAACUUUUUGUUUUCAUUAAUUUUAGGAAAAUCCUGCCUUGCUUCGUUGGGCCUAUGCAAGAACAACAAAUGUCUAUCCUAAUUUCAGACCCACUCCUAAAAACUCACUCAUGGGAGCUCUGUAUGGAUUUGGGCCCCUCAUCUUCAUUUAUUAUAUUAUCAAAACUGAGAGGGAUAGGAAAGAAAAACUUAUCCAGGAAGGAAAAUUGGAUCGAACAUUUCAGCUCUCAUAUUAAGUCUGGCAAUGAUGACUAUAUGUAUUCCUGCCUAAAUAAAUCGUCUAUUAAUCA
rnacentral:sRNA from 1 species